CUCUCUCUCCCUCUCCUCUCUCUCUCCCCCCUCUCUCUCUCCUCCCUCCCCUUUCACCCUCUCUCUUCUUCAUUCUUUCCUCUCCCCCCUCCCCCACCAAGGGCACUGUGACUAAUCUUGCUAUCUGUGCCACUUGAUAAAUUAGAGGCUGCCUCUUCUCUUUGUGGUUUGGUUUUAAAAGCACUUUCUCUCUUUGUUUACUGUACAGGUGAUACAAUUUCAUGGUAGAAACCUCAGAAAGGAGAAGGAAAUCAGAUGAGGGAAAACCAAGAGAGUAAUGGCUCCCCAUGAUCCUGCUACCCAGAGACAACCACUUUUACCUUUUUGGUGUGCUGCCUUUCCAGGUUCUCUCUCUUUCUCUCUCUCUCCCUCCCGUUCUCACCCCCACCUCACCUUCCCUUUUCACAUACUGUUAUACAACGGUUCAUGUAUGUGGUGUUUCUUAACCUGCUUUUUUUUCAAAAACUAAAACCAAACAGAAAUCAACACACUGAACGUCUUUCCAUGUUAUACAACAGGCUUCUGAAACUCAUCUUCAGUGCCUGCAGAGUGUAUCCACGCACCUUAACAUUUCUGUAACCGUUCCCUCAUUGUUGGACAUUCAGGUGGUGCCUAGUUCUUUCCUUGUGUUUAACCCCAACACUGAGUCUCUGAUGAGUGACUCCUUCCUUGUCAAGCCAAAUCUCCGCUGGCAUACCCUACGGUCAUCUUAAUUGUGGACUCGAAGGAUCCACACAUGGACAUUUUAAAGACUUUUCCGAAAAAAAGUCAGAAAGCGGACCAGGUACCAAAAGCGAACUAAUGUCAGCAAUAUUGAAUCCUCAUGAACAUUCAUGUCUUCCUGAGUCAUUUUCAUCUGUAUCUGCACAAUAUUUUUAAUUUUCAUGAAUUUCAAUGCAUUUGCUGUUUCUAUAUCUAUUUUUUCAUACAUAAAUACAUAAUAUAGAUAGAUGUAGAUGUAAAGUUAGAUAUUCUUGAACUUCUUUUCAUGUCAUUAAAUAUUCUUCUAAAAUAGUUUCCAUGGUUGUUUAGUAUUCCAUUGAAUGAGUUAGAUAGAGGAAUAGAUGUAUGUAUGUAUGUAUUUCUAUACUUAUAGAUAUGAGGGUUUUUUUUCACUGCUUCCUCAUUGUGGAACAUUUAGGUGGUUUUAUUUGUGUGUUUUUUUCCCUUACCCUAACCCAAACUGCUAAUAAUAUCAUAGUGCACAUGCCUUGCUUACAUUCAAGAUUAUUUCCUGAGCAAACAUUGCGAAAAGAGGAAUUGAAGACUCAAAGGAUAUGUCAGGAUUAAAUUCUGCAUUCCACUGUUCUGGGCAGUCAACCAAGCCUGAGGCUACAGAGAGUUAAGGGUCCAACAUUUCCCAGACGUCUCUGCUGCUGGAGCCAUAUUGCAUCUCAGUGAGUACCAUAAUUGGUCUUAUCUUUCCAAAUUAUUAAAUAUUCUCUUCUAAUUUGUUUUUAUUUUAUGUUCCAUAUUAUGGAUGACUGAUAAUUUCUAAAUCUCAAUUCAUUGAUGUAUGUUUAAAUUAUUCUUUUUUUUUCUUAGUAAGAUUAACUCUUCUGGGAACAUAUUUGUAGCUGAAUGUUUGCUAACAUGUAGUACAUGUAGUUACCAACUAUACCUUGCCAGUUUGUUGCUGAAUGCCUUUUCAGCAAAGGUUAUCCCCAUGAACAGUGUAAGAGAGUAUAUUUCCCUGGUUAUCUUCUUAAG